GGGCCGGUAGAUCAGUGGUAGAUCGCUACCUUCGCAAGGUAGAGGCCGCGGGUUCGAAUCCCGCCCGGUCCA
rnacentral:tRNA from 1 species